rnacentral:lncRNA from 1 species
CUGAGAAGAAGGUUAGUUCACUCGAUAAAUUUGGAAUCUACUAUAAGUGAGGUUAUUUUUUUCUUUUUUUCGCAUUGCCCUCUUGCCCUGUUUGGUUCGUCGCUACGCAAAAUUUAUUUGGAAUAAGACUUAAUUCCUGAUCAUUCCACACAAUCAUUUUUUUUUUUAAUUUUUUGGGGGGUGUGUGGGGGUGGAGGGGGGAAGAAACACGAUAUCGUUUGAUGAAAGUAACCGUGCACAAGUACUAAUGUUGUGAUGAUAUGAUUUUGAAAAGGAAAAUGCAGAGAAAUGGCAACACGAAGCUCCAGAGGUUUUGUACCCAUCAUCAAAAGGAUGAAGCACCACCGCUGAGGCAAAACUCGCGACACGACUUCUGAUAGUGUUACGUUCCGGAUCAUCCUGUGGCAAUUUAUUUGUUGUAGAUGUGGAGUGGAUUGGUGUAAAAUGUUGAGUUCCCUUGUUACUGUGAAUUCGUCAACAACUGUUAAAAAGUGCAGAAUUAACAUUUCAAAACUUGGAACAGUGUUUUACGGUUACUUGUUCUUGUUUUACACAGCAUUAUGGUACAUAACAAUUUUUUUACAUUUAAUAGAGAAUUUCUCUUUCUUCA